rnacentral:rRNA from 1 species
UACGAAGGGGGCUAGCGUUGCUCGGAAUCACUGGGCGUAAAGCGCACGUAGGCGGAUUGUUAAGUCAGGGGUGAAAUCCUGGAGCUCAACUCCAGAACUGCCUUUGAUACUGGCGAUCUCGAGUCCGGGAGAGGUGAGUGGAACUGCGAGUGUAGAGGUGAAAUUCGUAGAUAUUCGCAAGAACACCGGUGGCGAAGGCGGCAGUCCUGGACCGGUAUUGACGCUGAGGCGCGAAAGCCAGGGAGC